rnacentral:lncRNA from 1 species
GGGAAAUGUAAUGUUUUAUAGGGAUACGUAAAUAAGACUUGAAGUUGUCUUUUUACGUGAAGUAAAUAAGGAUUUAAAUUAGUGAAUAGUGAUUUGAACCUAGAAUUAUAUAUUACAAUAUUCACAGGGAUAUUUGCUUACAUGCACCGUUUCGUGACUUCCUCGUUCGUAAUUUUAGUAAAUUAGUCACUUGUUAAGACUAUUUUGCAAUAUUUACAAUAUCUAUCCCUUCAAUGAAAUCUAAUUUGGAAUCUAAGUAGAUGCAUGCAAUGCAAGUUAACAUUUAUCAUACCUGAUCUUUGCGUUAUUUCAUCGUUCAAUAAGUAAUAUUCGGACAGUUCUUUUCGGAUAUAAUUGUAAACUGGCAGCCCAUCGCCACUUCAAGAUAGAGUAGAAAAUAUGAAAUUCAAGACAGUGUUAGAAGGAGAACAAGCAGUAAUAUUCAACCAUCUUGGUGAAGGUAGACUUGUGGUUGGCCCUUCAAGAGUGUUUUUAUUCAGAGAGCGAUUGCAGAAGUUGAAGAGGCACACAGCAACACAACAUGAAUACUUAAAGAUCAGAGAUAAUAAUGGAAUUGUUACUCACAAACCAGGGUAUGUACAUGACAACACAAUAUGACUGUCAAAAAAAAACUCAACAGUAAUGGACACACUGACCAGGGUAAGUACAUGGUAACACAACAUGUGUAUUGAAUAUUUGGAAAUUAUUAACAGUAAUGGAAUUUUAACACACACCACGUUAAGUACAUGGCAACAAAACAUUAAUACUUAAGAAUUAAAUACAGUAAUGGAACUUUUACCCACAAUCAAGGGUAAGUACAUGGCAACAAAACAUGAAUACUUAAGAAUUAAAUACAGUAAUGGAACUUUUACCCACAAUCAAGGGUAAGUACAUGGCAACAAAACAUGAUACCUAAGAAUUAAUACAGUAAUGGAACUUUCACCCACAAUCAAGGUUAAGUACAUGGCAACACAACAUGAAUACCUAAGAGUUCAAUACAGUAAUGGAACUUUUACCUACAAACCAGGGAAGUACAUGGCAACACAACAUGAAUACUUAAGAAUUGAAUACAGUAAUGGAACUUUUACCUACAAACCAGGGAAGUACAUGGCAACACAACAUGAAUACUUAAGAAUUAAAUACAGUAAUGGAACUUUUACUCAAAAACCAGGGUAAGUACAUGGCAACACAACAUGAAUACUUAAGAAUUAAAUACAGUAAUGGAACUUUUACCUACAAACCAGGGAAGUACAUGGCAACACAACAUGAAUACUUAAGAAUUACAGUAAUGGAACUUUUACCCACAAACCAGGGUAAGUACAAUGUACAUGGCAACACAACAUGAAUACUUAAGAAUUGAAUACAGUAAUGGAACUUUUACCUACAAACCAGGGUAAGUACAAUGUACAUGGCAACACAACAUGAAUACUUAAGAAUUAAAUACAGUAAUGGAACUUUUACCUACAAACCAGGGUAAGUACAAUGUACAUGGCAACACAACAUGAAUACUUAAGAAUUGAAUACAGUAAUGGAACUUUUACCUACAAACCAGGGUAAGUACAAUGUACAUGGCAACACAACAUGAAUACUUAAGAAUUAAAUACAGUAAUGGAACUUUUA